AUGACCUUUAAAUUAGUCCCGUGAGGCUAAGAAGGAAAUGGCGUACCAUGAUAAUGUUGACAUGGGCACCUCUUUCUUGCUUGCGGGCAAGGAAGAGGUUUUUUGUU
rfam:Desulfitobacterium dichloroeliminans LMG P-21439, complete genome.